CUGAAUGGAUAGUAAUAUUAGCUGUUGGUGGGGUGCUGAUAUACAUAGCAUCUUUCUCCAUUGGACUGGGAGCAGUCCCUUGGGUGAUUAUGUCUGAGAUUUUCCCAAUUCAUGUGAAGUUGGUUGUUG